CGACGUUAGCUCAGAGGAAAGAGCAGCGGCAUGUACGCAGGUCGCCGGUUCGAGUCCGGCACGUCGACCA
rnacentral:tRNA from 4 species